GAUGAACGCUGGCGGCGUGCCUAAUACAUGCAAGUCGAACGAAACUUCUUUAUCACCGAGUGCUUGCACUCACCGAUAAAGAGUUGAGUGGCGAACGGGUGAGUAACACGUGGGCAACCUGCCCACAAGAGGGGGAUAACACUUGGAAACAGGUGCUAAUACCGCAUAACCAUAGUUACCGCAUGGUAACUAUGUAAAAGGUGGCUAUACUACCGCUUUUGGAUGGGCCCGCGGCGCAUUAGCUAGUUGGUAGGGUAAAGGCUUACCAAGGCAAUGAUGCGUAGCCGAAUUGAGAGGUUGAUCGGCCACAUUGGGACUGAGACACGGCCCAAACUCCUACGGGAGGCAGCAGUAGGGAAUCGGCCACAAUGGGCGAAAGCCUGAUGGAGCAACGCCGCGUGUGUGAAGAAGGUCUUCGGAUCGUAAAACCCUGUUGUUAGAGAAGAAAGUGCGUGAGAGUAACUGUUCACGUUUCGACGGUAUCUAACCAGAAAGCCACGGCUAACUACGUG
rnacentral:rRNA from 1 species